AGGAACACAGGGCCAUACAGAGCUUGGUUGGAGAAAGGGUAGCCCUGAGACCUAAGGAAAAACUCAGCUUCCCUAACCCAUUGCUUUACAUCUGUGCUGUGGGCCUGCUUGGUGAACUAGAUCAUUUUAAUUUAAACUUAUGAGUUAGAAGAAGAGGAACUUAAACAACCUUGAGCCACCCACCCUCCCAUACAGGCAGAGCCAAACCAGUGGCCCCUUUGCCUCCACAUAACUUCAACAGUGCUGAGUGGGCAACAUGUCUGAGCUCUGGGACGUACAAGCACAGGAGUGUUAAAGAAGAAUACCAAACAGAGCCCGUCUGUGUCCAACCCCCCAGCCCACAGCUUCCCACCAUGAUCCAAUCCAGAGGACCCUCUUAUACCAAACAAAAGGAAUGAAUUAGGCUGCCCCCUGGGACCAUGACAGAGACUUUGAUACUCCAAAUACUCACUGCCCUCUCUUUCCUGAAAGAAUCUGUGUAAGAAAUAACACUAAUCAGACAAGCUGAUGACGCACUUCCUUUGAUUCUUUUCAGCAUUAGGAAUAACCCAAGGGUUACAGUUGAUAGCAAAAAAAGUAUUUAAGAAAAAAUGCUUAAGUGGAAUAAGAGUUAAAACCAGUAAGUGCAAAUGAGCAACGGCAGCAAGUUU